rnacentral:misc_RNA from 1 species
GAAAUGCGAUAAGUAAUGUGAAUUGCAGAAUUCAGUGAAUCAUCGAAUCUUUGAACGCACAUUGCGCCCGCCAGUAUUCUGGCGGGCAUGCCUGUUCGAGCGUCAUUACAACCCUCAGGCCCCCGGGCCUGGCGUUGGGGAUCGGCGGAAGACCCCUGCGGGCACAACGCCGUCCCCCAAAUACAGUGGCGGUCCCGCCGCAGCUUCCAUUGCGUAGUAGCUAACACCUCGCAACUGGAGAGCGGCGCGGCCACGCCGUAAAACACCCAACUUCUGAAUGUUGACCUCGAAUCAGGUAGGAAUACCCGCUGAACUUAAGC